rnacentral:rRNA from 1 species
UACGAAGGGGGCUAGCGUUGUUCGGAAUUACUGGGCGUAAAGGGUUCGUAGGUGGCCAACUCAGUCAGACGUGAAAUCCCUCAGCUCAACUGGGGAACUGCGUCUGAUACUAGAUGGCUCGAGUGCAGGAGAGGAACGCGGAAUUCCAGGUGUAGCGGUGAAAUGCGUAGAUAUCUGGAGGAACACCGGUGGCGAAGGCGGCGUUCUGGACUGCAACUGACACUGAGGAACGAAAGCCAGGGGAGCAAACGGG